rnacentral:rRNA from 1 species
UUUAUCAAAAACAUAGCCUUUAGCAACAUAAGUAUUGAAGGUCCUGCCUGCCCAGUGAAAUUUUUUAACGGCCGCGGUAUUCUAACCGUGCAAAGGUAGCGUAAUCACUUGUCUUCUAAAUAAAGACCAGUAUGAAUGGCUAAAUGAGGACAGACCUGUCUCCUACAACUAAUCAGUGAAACUGAUCUCCCAGUCCAAAAGCUGGGAUAUUAACAUUAGACGAGAAGACCCUGUGGAGCUUUAAACCCACCAAGUAAUUAAACAACUGACAAGGUUUUAAGUUGGGGCGACUUCGGAACAAAACAAAACUUCCGAGCACAGAAUCACCAAUUCUAACCAAGGCAAACAGGCCAAAGCAAAAACUGACCCAGUAAAACUGAUCAACGAACCAAGUUACCCCAGGGAUAACAGCGCCAUCCUCUUCAAGAGUCCAUAUCGACAAGAGGGUUUACGACCUCGAUGUUGGAUCAGGGCACCCAAAUGGUGCAGCCGCUAUUAAAGGUUCGUUUGUUCAACGAUUAACAGCCCUACGUGAUCUGAG